CUACGGGUGGCUGCAGUUAGGCAUAAUCUACAAUGCGCGCAAGCGUGAUAGUUUGAGCCAGAGUGCUUUACAAUAGUAAAGCUUUUGCCAAAUCUAAAAAUUUUGGCGAAUAAGGACUGGGUAAGACGGAGUGCCAGCCGCCGCGGUAAUACUCGCGGUCCAAGUCGCAGCCAUUUUUAUUGGGUCUAAAACAUCCGUAGCUUGCUUAGUGAGUUUCUUGUGAAAUCCGAUAUCUCAAGUAUUGGUCGGGCAAGAAGUACUGCUAAGCUAGAGACUGGAAGACGUAACGAGUACGUUCGGAGUAUCGGUAAAAUGAGUUAAUCCCGGACGGACUAACAACAGCGAAGGCACGUUACGAGAACAGUUCUGACAGUAAGGGAUGAAGGCUAGGGGCGCAAAAGGGAUUAGAUACCCUCGUAGUC
rnacentral:rRNA from 1 species